CUGGGGUUUGAUCAUGAGAUCAGGGACGAGGCUGAGAAAGAAAUGGAGGAGGAAGAGGAGUUGCUGCUAAGCCUCAGCCGGAGAAAGCAGAUGACAGGAAUAAAGGGGACGGCCUAAGAUUCUACAGACCCAAGUUCUCUUAUAUAUUAUGUGAUAUGGAUGACGGAGUUCAAAAGAAUCGUGUCACCACUGAAGUACCAGACGAGGUGUGUUACUGCCUUCCCUGAUCAGCAAGACCCUGAUGGAAAAAAGUUCGAUAAAGAUUGUGUUUUACAAAAGGUCUAAUCAAGGACACGAGAGAAGCUCCAUGGCAAAAAAAAUAAAAAAUGGAGUGGCCUGUGUUAGAAGUUUAUAGCCCACCCAAGUUGUGAAAGCAGUCCAACCAGAGUUUAUCGCUGACCUCACAUCGCAGAAAUAUAUGAUAUCUGCCUUCAAUAAAACCUUUGCAGAGGCAGUAUGCUUUUUUUUGGAUUUUAAGGCAGUGGUAGUAAACUAGACGAAUCACUUUUAUUGAAUCAAGAAGUAGAACUAGACAAUGAGGAGUAAGAGAACUGAUCUCAUACAAUCGGCUGAAGUGAAUCCAUAAUCUUGGUUUUACUUUAGUUAGUUCAUAAAGAAGAGACGAUAGUUCUGCUUGUGAGAUAUAUAUGGACCAUACAUUUGCAACUUUCAUUCAAUAGUUGAUUCACAUGUUUUGUA